AGAUCGCCCCUCCAACGACGUAAUUUGUUCAAUAUAAACAAUUUGGCGUCGCUCCAACAGGUCUUACAAACAACCGUUAGGCGAACAAAACUACUAUACUAUAGAAAAAUGAUCGAUCGAUCAUGUUAAUCGCUAGAGGAUUGUAGCUCCCUUUUGUGGUGGCAGGUGCUUAGUGAUGCUUAUGGAAGCCUGCAAUAUCCACUAGGUGAUUCAGUGCAUUUGAAACACCUAAUUUACACACUUGGGACGCCAGAUGUCGCGAAAUGGUGGAAAAACACAUGUAUAUGUGCAGGACAAAACUUUCACGCUCCUGGUGAUGAUAGGCAAAUGAUUGAUGGUGAUAAAGGAAGCCCAAAGUGUCUUCUAAGCGAUCCGAUGGUUUCUUCCAUGGAGGAGCUGGAAUCAAUGCAGCAGUGGAAACGACAGGAAACGAACUGUUUCGACGGGGUCGGACCAUAGGGAGAGGGGUGUCAGAUAUGUGGGUUUAGCGGGGCAUGCGAAAGGUGGUUAGAGUCAUGCAAGGACUCUUUGCAUGCUGGAAAUAUAAUUGAUAUGUCGACGUCGAUUCUGGAUAUGUAAGAGUUUAAAAAUCACAUCAUAGCAAGUAUCCAGAACGAAGCUAUGCAAGAGUCACUGUCAAUUCUCGCGGCAACUAGAGUUCGUCGUCUGCAAUGGGUAGUGGUUUGACUCCAAGUAUGCUACUUACAGAGAGGCAGUCAGUGAAAGUGUUUAUGGCUCCACUGUUAAUGGCGAACAACUCCGACGGCAGCUGGUUGUACAUUAGCGGAAUUGCACAGAUUUUAACGGGUCAAGAUCUGUUUUUUCACAGAACUAACACCGUUUUAGAUUAAAUUUGUCACCACUAGAAUAACUUAUGUUGGCAUUGAGUCCAACCCGAAAUCGGAGAAAACUUUCGGAAGUGGUCCACGAGUUACUUGGCUCCAUGCUGUCAACGCAUUACUGUGACGUUAGUCUCUACGGCGGUGGAAUCUGCACCAAGUCCGCGUAGUGCGCCGCAAUCCACUCGAGUGGCCAACAAAGGUCUCCUACGGUCCAUUGGAGCUCAAACCGGCAGCAUGACUCUCAUUCUGAUCAGUUCUUCCCAACUUUCAUCCCGCUCCGAUUCUCGUGCCAGAACCACUCAGGAACUGCUGAUUCCUCGCACAAUCUGCUCUGUGUCAGAACGUCAUACGUCGGAACGUGAGUGGAAUGGAAUAUGUCGUACGUUGCCCCAUGCUACAGAAGUCUGCCCCCGCAACACCCUACAGUGGCGUCAACAACCAAAACACGGUGCGACAACAGCGCUUGCGUGUUCUACAGCUGCAACAACCAACACCACCGAUUGGAAGUUGCACCACAACAACGCCCGGCUCCCAUCAUAUUUCUUGUGAACAGCUACCUAAACAAGGCUGGCAUCUUAACGCUUCCGCAGCCGCCCUACAGCCCAGAUGGGCCCCCAGGACUUUUUUGUUUCCUUGCCUGAAAAGACCGAUGAAAGGUGAUAUGACGGAGGGGAUCCAAGCAGCAUACACCACGGCUCUCAAGGCUAUUCCGGAGAAUGCCUUCCGUGAUGCCUUUAAUGCUUGGAAAUCCCGCUGGCAGCGUUAGUUUCAAAGUCUUUAAAGAAUUGUGACGAUUGGUUCAAUAAAUUUGUUUUAAUCGACAAUCCCUGUAUGAGUCAAUUGAAAAUAUUUCGAUAGAAGCUUUUGGAUUGAAAAGCACUAGUACCAGACUUGUUCUUCUAUACUUAAAUAUUUGGUAUGAGAAUCGAACAUAUUGUGCUUCGAAGAAGACACAAAUAAAGGCAACCGUUUCUAUACCCGGUUUUACUCAAUCUAAAGAACAAAAACCAAAGCACAACAACAGUAAUAGCAACAACAACAACAACAUUUAAGUAGAACAAUUAACCAACUGACGAAGUCAUUAUCAUUAACUGCCACAGCUGUCUCAACGACUUGCGCCGAGAGUGGGAAUCAUCAUCGUUGCAAGAUAAGUAAUGAAAGGAAAACAAGCAUUCAAAAGGAAUAAACAAGGAUAAUGAAGUUGGCAUUGUGACAAUGCUGGCUGCCUGGCUGGCUGACAUGCGAGUGAGUACAAGCAAACAUUGCAAUUGGAAUGUCGCAACAACUACCAACACACACACAAACAAACACACGAAAGUAGUUGUAUAAGUACGGCAAGUGUGUGUGUGUAUAUGUGCGUCCGUUUGUAGUUGUGUGUGUGCGUGUAUUGAAAGCAAAUAUUGCAAGCAGUUAACAACUAAAGCUGUAACAAUGCAAAACAACAACAACAACAACUUGAUAUCUAGCACACAACAGCAACAAUCAACAGUUACUCACAACAACAACAACGUUAAAAGUCAGCAGUCAACAGCGCAAGACGCCAGUCGCUGCACGAAGGAGUUUAACUGCACAACAACAACAAAAAUAGAAAUGAAACUUGCAAGUAGUGCAAUAAUGAAUGUGAAAAGGAGUGAAAAAAAGCAAAACUGUGCAAAAGUUGCGAAAUAAAAAUGCGCUCGAGCGCUGUAGAUUGCCGGCUGACAACUCUUUUACCGAUUAUCAAUGCAUUUGACUAUG